UAUUAUUUAUUUGGCUUAGCUAAUAGCUUGAAUGUUUUUUCAUUUUUUGAUUUUUAAUAGCAAUAUUGAGUAAACAUUGAUUAACAUAAUUUUACUACAUUUAUUUGGUAAUGGAACAUAAAUGAUUUAUGAUACAAUUGAAAAAGAACUGACAAAAUAUGAGUGAUAAUCGCAAAUUAAUGAAAUUUCAAUAAAAUAUUGGGACUUUGGUAUACAUUUUGGAGCACCUAUGGGAGGGUUAGCAGUGAUUCACCUUAGAAAGGGUUGCAACCCUUUUUUACCAGCUGCAGAGGUACACUGGGACAUUAAAAAAAAGGGUGCAAAAAACUAAAAUGGCUCCUGUACACAAUAAAGGGGAUAAUGUGUAUGGCUGCGCAGAAGGGCAUAUUUGUUAGCGAGUGCGCACUAACUGUCCGAUUCGCAUACGAUUGGGGAACUGAGACCUACGAUGGGCAGAGAAGGAAAAAAAGGGUAAUGGUUUUUUACUUUGGCCAACCAGAGUUCAGUGCUUCAUGCAAAGGACACCAAAAGGGUUCCUGCCGUGAGCUGUAGUCGUCCGAUGCCGAUGUAUACUCCUGCAGUAGUGUCAACGUGCUCGAUUAGUGCAGUAGUGGUGGUUUACAGUUAGUGUUAGUUAUUUUAAAUAUUUCAACGCGUUAUUGUUAUUAUUAUUUUUUUUUUUAAUUUUGCAUUUUAUACAUUUUUUAUUGUUUUUCAAGAGCAAGGAUUAAUUUUUUAAGGAUUCCUGCAUAAUACUAUAGUAUAAGGAUACAGAGAUGUACAGAAAAAUAACGACUCAGGAAAUAACGAUGAAGGCGUUUUUUUAUUUCCAUUUUCUUGGCCGCUACGGUGUUGCCUACACAGAGCGCCGUCGUCGUCGUCGUCGUUGCUGUCGCCUUCCGAAACAGAUAAGAUGCUCGUUCUGUAUUCAGUUGUUGUAUGGCAUUUUCACCAGACCGAGGAAAAUUCCAUCUACGUUAAAGAUACGACUAUACUCUCCUGCGAUCUACUACUCGAAUACAUAAGUCGAUUUCAGCCGACCAAAAGCUGUUACUACCGUACAUUCAAGUCGAAGAAUAUGCAAUGACCAUUUUAAAGUAAUUGUAUUGGUGCUGGAUCAAAAGAAAGACCAAAAUGGCAUUACUUAGUCAGCUAUUAAAUAUUGAUAUCAAUUGUUAUAUACGACGAGGAGCCGGAAACGAACUGCGGGCAUUUUUGUACUGUGUAUACGAUACGGCCAUCCUCGUUUGACGCGGACCGACAGACGCGCGGUCACAGGUGUGAAAUUAAUACGAACGUCUCGGAGAGGCGGACGAAAAACCGAGAAGGAGUUUAAGGAUUUAGGCGGCCACCGAAAUACACCACGCUGUCGCUGUCCGUAUACGGUAUAUAUAUUUUAUAGGGUGUGCGAUGUGAUUGUAAUAAUAGUUAACAACGAUAAUGACGAAUCGGAUCGGUUCGGGUUAAUAAUUUCCGUGUGCCGGAACGAAAGGCGACGGACCACCCACCAGUGCGGAACGAACACUGCGCGAGCUGAGGAAAUGUCGCCGGCCGAAAACGACCCACGGCAGUAGCCGUCUACGCUUACCGGGUGCUGUUCUUGGCGACACGUUUGUUUGGCAUGAAAAAAAUCCUCCUUUUUUUUUUAUUCAUAACCGGUUACAUCGGUUGACGGUCGUGGGAAUGCAAAUUUUCGCUUCCCGCCGCGUGUCCAAUCACCGCAAAAAAUUUUCCACUACCGCCGCCAACGUUGUCAUUACUCUAUAUUAUUCGGACAUCGUUACACACACACACACACACACUUUAUUAGAAAAGAGUGUACGCGUAAGAUGAAGAAUGCUG